ACGAGUUGCAAAACUCCCUAAACCAUUGUGAACCUACCUAUACCGUUUCUUCGGCGGGCGGCUUGCGCCCUAACCUGCCUCUCUUUUAGGGAGGCGGACCCGCCGGAGGCCCCUAAACUCUUAGCUUUUGUUGGUAUCUCUGAGUACGAUUUUAAAUAAGUCA
rnacentral:misc_RNA from 1 species